rnacentral:rRNA from 1 species
UACAGAGGUCUCAAGCGUUGUUCGGAUUCAUUGGGCGUAAAGGGUGCGUAGGUGGCAUGGUAAGUCGGAUGUGAAAUCCCGGGGCUCAACCCCGGAACUGCAUUCGAUACUGCUGCGCUAGAGUACUGGAGAGGAGAUUUGGAAUUUACGGUGUAGCAGUGAAAUGCGUAGAUAUCGUAAGGAAGACCAGUGGCGAAGGCGGAUCUCUGGACAGUUACUGACACUGAGGCACGAAGGCCAGGGGAGCAAACGGG